rnacentral:rRNA from 1 species
ACGGUCCUAAGGUAGCGAAAUUCCUUGUCGGGUAAGUUCCGACCCGCACGAAUGGCGUAACGACUUGUGAGCUGUCUCAACAGGAGGCCCGGUGAAAUUGAAGUAUGUGUGAAGAUGCACAUUACCCGCGACUGGACGGAAAGACCCCGUAGAGCUUUACUGUAACCUGACAUUGGAUCUUGAUAACGGAUGCACAGGAUAGGUGGGACGCUGGGAGACGAGGACUUUGGUUUUCGUGGAGCGGCCGUUGGGAUACCACUCUUCUGUUAUUGAGAUUCUAACCUCAAGCCGUAAGCCGGAUGAGAGACAGUGUCAGGCGGACAGUUUGACUGGGGCGGUCGCCUCCGAAAGAGUAACGGAGGCGCCCAAAGGUACCCUCAGAAUGGAUGGAAACCAUUCGAAGAGAGCAAAGUCAGAAGGGUGCUUGACUGCGAGACCAACAAGUCGAGCAGGUACGAAAGUAGGGCUUAGUGAUCCGGCGGUAAGAGAGUGGAAUUGCCGUCGCUCAACGGAUAAAAGCUACCUCGGGGAUAACAGGCUGAUCUCCCCCAAGAGUUCACAUCGACGGGGAGGUUUGGCACCUCGAUGUCGGCUCAUCGCAUCCUGGAGCUGAAGUCGGUUCCAAGGGUUGGGCUGUUCGCCCAUUAAAGCGGUACGCGAGCUGGGUUCAGAACGUCGUGAGACAGUUCGGUCCCUAUCUGUCGUGGGCGCAGGAAAUUUGAGAAGAGCUGUCCUCAGUACGAGAGGACCGGGAUGGACGCAUCAAUGGUGGACCAGUUGUCACGCCAGUGGCAUAGCUGGGUAGCUAAAUGCGGAAGGGAUAAACGCUGAAGGCAUCUAAGUGUGAAACCCACUUCAAGAUGAGAUUUCCCAUUGCGCAAGCAAGUAAGACCCCUUAAAGACGAUAAGGUAGAUAGGUCAGGAGUGUAAGCAUGGUGACAUGUUAAGCGGACUGAUACUAAUAGGUCGAGGGCUUGACCGA